rnacentral:rRNA from 1 species
AUUGAACGCUGGCGGCAGGCCUAACACAUGCAAGUCGAACGAGUGGCGGACGGGUGAGUAAUGUCUGGGAAACCGCCCGACGGAGGGGGAUAACUACUGGAAACGGUCGCUAAUACCGAAUACCCUCGGAUUGGCCCAGAUGGGCUGAGCUAGUAGGUGGGGUAACGGCUGACCUAGGCGACGAACCCUAGCUGGUCUGAGAGGAUGACCAGCCACACGGGAACUGAGACACGGUCCAGACGCCUACGCGUGGCAGCAGUGGGGAAUAUUGCACAAUGUGCGCAAGCCUGAUGAAGCCAUGCCGCGUGUAUGAAGAAGGCCUUCGGGUUUUAAAGUACUUUCAGCGAUGAGGCGUUACUCGCAGAAGAAGCACCGGCUAACUCCGUGCCAGCAGCCGCGGUAAUUC